rnacentral:lncRNA from 1 species
AAAGGUGUUGCGAGGCUUCGCCGAUUGAGAAUGAGGGAGUUCUUAUUCAAGGCUAGGUUAAAAAGAAAGCUCAUCAACUUGGUAAGUUGUGUGUUCGAGUGAUUCCAAAGGUGUAGCGAAGGGAUUCUCCAACAGAGAAGCCGGAGCGGAGUUUGAGUUCUUAGUGAGGUGAGGCUUCACCAAUUGAGAAGGAGGUUGAGAAGGAGGGAGUUCAUUGGGGACUAUAUACGGUAGGUAUUGUUUGACCCCCUGUGAAUGAGACAAUCCUAUCUGUAUCUUGUCCUCGGACUAUUCUAGGUCGGAUCAGCAAAGUCACAUUCUCCAGAGCAAUUACUAGCAAGUGAAGAUGCUUCCUCUCUCUUAUCGGAGUCCAGAUCUCUAUUCCUACGACAAGGAGGCAUAACACCCUCAUCCAAGCACGAGGAUGCACUCACAACCCUCUUCAGGUGAGGGUUCGGUCAGUCGAGGGAAUAACCACGAUAAUAUACAUUAUAAUAUUCUAGUAUAAUAACAUUGUUAUACCAUAUUAUAAUACAUAAUAUCAUAUUGUCAUAAUAUAUUAUAAUAUAAUAUUGUACAAGAUUUUUAUAAUAUAUUAUUAUGUUACAAUAUCA